AUGUCCUGUGAGCAGCUGCAGGGUUCAAAACCCACUCCUGAGGCCAGGCAGCUUCAUGGGGACCUGGGGCUGGCGGGAGAAGAGCUAAGGCAGCACAGGAUGGGGGUGGGAAGUACAGAGCUGGAAGUUCAGGACCUGUGUAUGGAGGAGGACGAGAGCAAGGAGCUGGAUGAGCUGUGGACCAGCACCUUUGUCUUCAUCACUCUCUUUCUGCUCAGCGUGAGCUACAGUGCCAUGGUCACCCUCUUCAAGCCUGUCUUCUUUGCUCCAGAGCCUGAGACCAGCCCUAGAGUCUUCCCGCUGAGUCUCCAGCGUGCUGCCUCCUGUGAGAAUGUGGUCGUUGCCUGCCUAGUCCAGGGUUUCUUCCCACCGGAGCCCUUGAAGGUGACCUGGAACCACAGCGGAGAGAACGUGACCGUCACGAACUACCCCCCGAUCCAGGACACUGCCGGGGUCCUGUAUACCAUGAGCAGCCAGCUCACCCUACCUGCUGACCAGUGCCCAGACAACAAAUGCCUCACGUGCCAUGUGCAGCAUAACUCAAGCUCACAGGAGGCCAAGGUGCCCUGCAAAGUUCCAGGCUGCCCCUCUGUAUGCCACCCAAGCCUGACACUGCACCGGCCAGCCCUAGAAGACCUGCUCCUGGGCUCGGAAGCCAACCUCACAUGCACACUGAGUGGCCUGAAGGACCCUGAGGGUGCCACCUUCACCUGGCAGACCUCAGGUGGGACAGAUGCCGUACAGAAGGCACCUGAGCGAGACUCCUGUGGCUGCUAUAGCGUGUCCAGCAUCCUUCCUGGCUGCAGGGAGCCCUGGAAGAGUGGGAAGAACUUCUCCUGCACUGCCACCCACCCCGAGGCUGGGACCCAAUCUGCCACCAUUUCCAAAAACUCAGGGAACAGCUUCCCACCCCAGGUCCACCUGCUGCCACCACCGGCGGAGGAGCUGGCGCUGAACGAACUGGUGACACUGACAUGCGUGGUGCGUGGAUUCAGCCCCCAAGACGUGCUGGUGCGCUGGCGGCACGGGGCCCAGCAGCUGCCCCAAAACAACUACCUGACCUGGCCCCCACGGCAGGAGCCAGGCCAGGAAGCUGUCACCUUUGCCGUGACCAGUGUGCUGCGCGUGGAGGCCCAGACCUGGAAGCAGGGUGAUAAUUUCUCCUGCCUGGUGGGCCAUGAGGCCCUGCCCCUGGACUUCACCGAGAAGACCAUCGACCGCUUGGCCGGCCUUCCUGUCUUGCAGAUUGGCAAAAGCCUUGCCCAUGGCUGGUGCUGGACCUGCCACAGGACAGCCUGGAGGAGGAGGCACAAGGGGCUAGCCUGUGGCCAACCACUGUCACUCUGCUCACACUCUUCCUGCUCAGCCUCGUCUACAGCACAGCACUGACAGUGACCAGCAUCUGGGGCCCCCAGGGCAGCAAGGAAGUUCCUCAGUACUGACCAGCUGCAGGCCCAGGUGGAAGCACCAUGGAGCCCUGGAGAAGUCUGCUCUGGAUGCCAAAAAUCAGCCCUGCUCUGAAGUCCCCACUACUCCUGCACAAGCUUGCCCCAUGCAAUAAACAGAUCCAAAAGCCAAACUUUCUCAGAGACC